GAUGAAGAACGUAGCGAAAUGCGAUAAAUAAUGUGAAUUGCAGAAUUCAGUGAAUCAUCGAGUCUUUGAACGCACAUUGCGCCCCCUGGUAUUCCGGGGGGCAUGCCUGUCCGAGCGCCAUUGCUGCCCUCAAGCACGGCUUGUGUGUUGGGCCUCCGUCCUCCUCCCGGGGGACGGGCCCGAAAGGCAGCGGCGGCACCGCGUCCGGUCCUCGAGCGUAUGGGGCUUCGUCACCCGCUCUUGUAGGCCCGGCCGGCGCUUGCCGACACAUCAAUCUUUUUUCCAGGUUGACCUCGGAUCAGGUAGGGAUACCCGCUGAACUUAAGCAUAUCAAUAAGCGGAGGA
rnacentral:misc_RNA from 1 species